rnacentral:sRNA from 1 species
CCACCACUUCUCUUAAGUUUUUUAAAAAUCUCUUUGUCCUUCAAACUUUCUCACAUGCCACAUAAUCUUUGCACUCACCGCCCUCAAAUUUCUCUUGGACCCGACACCCCAAAGAGAUCUUGCAAUCGAAGGGUAUAAACCCAGAUCCCUUUAUUGAUUCUGAAAAGGAAUUGGAGACAGAGGGUAACUCGACCAACGACAGAAGAAACUAUGCGGCAGUACCCAUUGAUUUUGAUUUUGAGUCUAAAAUUGGAAAGAAAUUUGCUGUCAUGUGGAAGCCUACGAUAAAGAUUAUGUGUAUUGAAAACAAUGGCAGAGGCAGGUUGAGUUUUGGAAGUUAGAACUUGCGUGAGAAUCAUGGUCAGCACCAUCACUCUUUAGCUGUUGUCUUACCAUUUUGGCCCACAACUUGCAUUUGUUUGCAGUCUCGCCGUUUAAUUCUUAUCAAACUUGUACUAAACCAUUCGGUUCAUCGAAGAAGAAAACUGGUCCAUAACUAUAUAAUAUCGAUGAAGGCAAUUGAACCAAGCGCAAUGAUGAUUAGAAUUAAAUGAAUUGUUAAUUAAAUAAUUGGGAACUUGAUGUGGAGGAUAACAAGGAUUAAAGAUGCCAUGAAACUAGCUGUUAUAAAUGAAUAAAAAGAAUUGUACAAAUGAUUGAUCUGUGUUUAUCUUGAACUUGAGGUAUUCGAUGAAUUGACUGUGUGUAAGAAUUUUAUGCCAUUCAAAAUUAGUUGUUAUGAAAAUAUUUCUCGUAAUGAAAAUAAUGAAUUCAAAGUAAUGAUGCAAAUAUAAAUUGAAAAUAAGUUUUAUUGCAAAUCUUACACUAGGACUUACAAUUAAUUUACUUACGAUUGAGUCAACAAAUAAGAAAAUGACUAAUGAAAAAGAUAUUGGUGCACGCAUGCAUCAUUGACAUUUGAAAAUUAAAAGUGUUUACAAUUUUGAUUUCUUUGGGUAUAGUGUGAACUCAAAGAAAGUUUUUACUGAGAAAUUGUGGAAAUUCCAAACUUGAAACUUUCUUCCUCCGGAGUCAAUUUCUUAUAUACUUGGAAAAAGGUCUUGGAAGAUUUGCUUUUACUAUUGAUGAAUGAUGAUUUGCUUUCACUAUUAAUGCACAAUGAAAUUUGUUGGAAUAAUUGCUGCUUUUACUGUAUAAUAAGGAUGAUUGAAUGACUCCAAACUUUGUUAGAAUCAUUGGUGGGAACAUGGUUGAAUGAAUAAUUCAAUGCUUUGUCGGAAUUAUUGGUAUGAAUAAUGUCUGAACGCUUCACAUGGUGACUUAGGAAAGAUGACUGAAUUUUCACAUGGAAAUUGACUGUGUUCACAUGGCCUUAUGCAAAUGGGUAUUGCGAAUCCUGGUAGUCGACCUACUUGGCUGACUGUGUUUUUUGACUUAUUGACUUGGUUGAUUGCUGUGAGGACGCAUCUGAAGAUUCGGAGUCUGAAGCUUUUUCUUCCAAUGUGGAUCAUCACUGCUUCUACAAUGAUGGCUGUGCUGGUUGUGCCGGAAUGACCAGAGGUGGAGUAAUGGGUUGGUUGUGCCUGAUUGAUGGCCUUUUGAUGGUUGAAUUUAUACCACCACUUGACUGAUCUGAUUAUGUAGACUUCACCUAUUUCAACUUCAUAAUUCAUGGGACUUUGUACUUGGCCAUAAUAUUGGGAGAAGUGUAUUUCUGUAGUUGAAUCAAUUUCUAUCAAAUUUCUGCUGGAAAUUGGUGGAGAGGACUUGCAUAAGUUCUUUUGGUAGGAGACUGGCUGUUGAGCCGUUAAUUGACCACCAUUUUAGGAACCAUGCAGGAAAAUUCAAUCUGAAACUCUUGUCAAAAUUAAUGAACCAUGAAUGACUAAAAUCUUUUGUCUGAUGAGGAAAGAUGUUAAUCCAUGCAUCAAUGUAAUCAAAGUAAUUGUAAUGGUUAUUGGGAAUGUGGACAUAUUGGGUAUGAAGAAGUUUGGUUUUGUAAAGGGGGAUUCCCCAAUCUGAUUCGGUGAAAAACCUUCAAAUGUAAAGAAAAUGGUAGAAGAUUUUGUUUUCAUGGAUUUUGCUGUAGAGAGGUUUGAUAGAAAUGGAC